AGGCACAUGCUGUGCCACUGAGCUAUAUCCCCAGCCCUUUUUUAAUUUAAAAAUUUUUUUCUUUUGUUUUUGAGACAGAGCCUAUGUAUUCCAGGAUGGCCUCAAACUCAGGAAGGAAUUCAUGAUUCUCCUGUCUCAGCCUCCCAAGUGCUAAGAUUAUAGGGUCGACAACCCCAAUUAUCUUCCAGAAUCCACUCACACUCAGCUGAAUGUUCUGAGAAGUAAGUUCUUCUGCCUUCUUCUCCAAUGAAGACACCCAUAGCUUGCGCUUUUGGCGACAGCGGGAGGCUGCAGCCCGGUUGCGCUCGAGAAAGCGUUGCCGCCUUUCAUCUGGGUCUUCAUCCACUGUGCGCCGCCUGCGUCCUCCAGUACUGGGAGUUGGCUGGGCUGGAGACACCUGUUGCCAGAAAGGAAGAGGUUAUCUGAUGGGAACAUCCACGUUUUCCAAGUCAAACCUGAUCGUAGGUGGACGGUCACCACUGCAAAUCUCAUCACUAGGACCUUUCACUUCUCUUUUGUAGUAAGUGGCUCCUCAUUCUGUAGGCCAUUUCUGUGCCUCCUCAGUACAAUUCCUAAAAACUAUAGUUCAGCUGAAACCUGAUUAUUUCUAAGACAGAUGAAAAAUGAACCUAGGAUCAUUUUACGUUUCUUUAACAGCAGGAAAUCUUGAAGGCAGGGAACUCAGAGGAGAGUGUCAGAGGAAGACACAAAAAAGUCUAAGAACCACUGAUUUGGACAAGCGAUACAUAUAAACACUGUGCUCUAACAGGUUUCGAAGAAGGACAAAAUAUAUAUAUAUCCCUUCAUUGCAAUAAGGGAUAUUAUGGAAAGAUAUAGGUUCCUAUGUUCUUUUGAUUUAUAGUUGGUAAUUAAUCAUCCUUGGCAAGCCCCCCUUUUAUUGUAAAUAGAGAACUAAUGAUAUUGGAUUCUUUUGUUUUUAAACUUCAGCCUGAAGGGUUUUUUUUUUUUUUUUUUUUUUUUUUUUUUUUUUGGUACUGGGGGUUGAAUUUAUGACCUUGCGCUUGCCAGGCAGGCACUUAUGCUGCUGAACUAAAUCCUCAAGCCCUCUCUUCUUUUAGUAGCCUGAAGUCUUUUGCCAUGAUAAUCCUUCUGAAUCACCUUCCUUUUCUAUUAGCUGGAAUGCA